rnacentral:rRNA from 1 species
GACGAACGCUGGCGGCGUGCUUAACACAUGCAAGUCGAACGGAAAGGCCCUGCUUUUGUGGGGUGCUCGAGUGGCGAACGGGUGAGUAACACGUGAGUAACCUGCCCUUCACUUUGGGAUAACUUCAGGAAACUGGGGCUAAUACCGGAUCGGAGCUCCUGCUGCAUGGUGGGGGUUGGAACGUUUCGGCGGUUGGGGAUGGACUCGCGGCUUAUCAGCUUGUUGGUGGGGUAGUGGCUUACCAAGGCUUUGACGGGUAGCCGGCCUGAGAGGGUGACCGGCGACAAUGGGACUGAGAGACGGCCCAGACGCCUACGGGAGGCAGCAGGGGGGAAUAUUGCACAAUGGGCGGAAGCCUGAUGCAGCAACGCCGCGUGCGGGAUGACGGCCUUCGGGGUGUAAACCGCUUUCGCCUGUGACGAAGCGUGAGUGACGGUAAUGGGUAAAGAAGCACCGGCUAACUACGUG